GACGUAGGGCGCGAGCGUUGUCCGGAUUUAUUGGGCGUAAAGAGCGUGUAGGCGGCCAGGUAGGUCUGCUGUGAAAACUCGAGGCUUAACCUCGAGCUGUCGGCGGAAACCAUCUGGCUAGAGUCCGGAAGAGGAGAAUGGAAUUCCCGGUGUAGCGGUGAAAUGCGCAGAUAUCAGGAGGAACACCGGUGGCGAAGGCGGAUCUCUGGGCCUUGCCUGACGCUGAGGCGCGAAAGCUAGGGGAGCGAACAGG
rnacentral:rRNA from 1 species